UACGGAGGAUUCGAGCGUUAUCCGGAUUUAUUGGGUUUAAAGGGAGCGUAGGCGGGUUGUUAAGUCAGUUGUGAAAGUUUGCGGCUCAACCGUAAAAUUGCAGUUGAUACUGACAUCCUUGAGUACGGUAGAGGUAGGCGGAAUUCGUGGUGUAGCGGUGAAAUGCUUAGAUAUCACGAAGAACUCCGAUUGCGAAGGCAGCCUGCUGGACUGUAACUGACGCUGAUGCUCGAAAGUGUGGGUAUCAAACAGG
rnacentral:rRNA from 1 species